rnacentral:lncRNA from 1 species
UCUAUCAAGCCGGUGCAAAUGGUAUCAAUUAACUAGUGUAAUAAAAUAUACAAUAUAAUGAAAAUUUGCCUUUUGGAUCAUUAUCUACNCAUCUUAAAAUAUAGAUAGAUUUGAAUUCAUUAGAUUUUGAUGACUAGAUGAUAAGAAAAAUAUAGCACCAUGCUAUUAAAAUUGUCUAUUUUACGUAUUCGAUGAUUAGGUUAGGACUUAUCAAAACAUAAGAAGU